UGGAUCAGAACGAACGCUGGCGGCAUGCUUUACACAUGCAAGUCGAACGGGGUGCGGGGGCAACUCCGCAUUCAGUGGCGAACGGGUGAGUAAGGCAUCGGAACGUGUCCUGAAGUGGGGGAUAACGCCGUGAAAGCGGCGCUAAUACCGCAUAUGCUCUGUGGAGGAAAGCGGGGGAACCGCAAGGUCCUCGUGCUUUGGGGGCGGCCGAUGUCCGAUUAGCUAGUUGGUGGGGUAAUGGCCCACCAAGGCGACGAUCCGUAGCUGGUCUGAGAGGACGACCAGCCACACUGGGAUUGAGACACGGCCCAGGAUCCUACGGGAGGCA
rnacentral:rRNA from 1 species